rnacentral:rRNA from 1 species
AUUGAACGCUGGCGGCAGGCCUAACACAUGCAAGUCGAGCGGAUGAGGAAAGCUUGCUUUUCGAUUCAGCGGCGGACGGGUGAGUAAUGCCUAGGAAUCUGCCUGUUAGUGGGGGAUAACUCGGGGAAACUCGGGCUAAUACCGCAUACGUCCUACGGGAGAAAGUGGGGGAUCUUCGGACCUCACGCUAACAGAUGAGCCGAGGUCGGAUUAGCUAGUAGGUGAGGUAAUGGCUCACCUAGGCGACGAUCCGUAACUGGUCUGAGAGGAUGAUCAGUCACACUGGAACUGAGACACGGUCCAGACUCCUACGGGAGGCAGCAGUGGGAAUAUUGGACAAUGGGCGAAAGCCUGAUCCAGCCAUGCCGCGUGUGUGAAGAAGGUCUUCGGAUUGUAAAGCACUUUAAGUUGGGAGGAAGGGUAUUCACCUAAUACGUGGGUACUUUGACGUUACCAACAGAAUAAGCACCGGCUAACUCUGUGCCAGCCGCCGCGGUAACAC